UGAGGAAUAUUGGUCAAUGGGCGCAAGCCUGAACCAGCCAUGCCGCGUGCAGGAAGAAGCAUCUAUGGUGUGUAAACUGCUUUUAUACAGGAAGAAACACCUCCACGUGUGGAGGCUUGACGGUACUGUAGGAAUAAGGAUCGGCUAACUCCGUGCCAGCAGCCGCGGUAAUACGGAGGAUCCAAGCGUUAUCCGGAAUCAUUGGGUUUAAAGGGUCCGUAGGCGGUCUUAUAAGUCAGUGGUGAAAGCCCAUCGCUCAACGAUGGAACUGCCAUUGAUACUGUAAGACUUGAAUUUUUGUGAAGUAACUAGAAUAUGUAGUGUAGCGGUGAAAUGCUUAGAUAUUACAUGGAAUACCAAUUGCGAAGGCAGGUUACUAACAAACGAUUGACGCUGAUGGACGAAAGCGUGGGGAGCGAACAGG
rnacentral:rRNA from 1 species